GAAGAGUUUGAUCAUGGCUCAGAUUGAACGCUGGCGGCAGGCCUAACACAUGCAAGUCGAACGGUAACAGGAAGCAGCUUGCUGCUUCGCUGACGAGUGGCGGACGGGUGAGUAAUGUCUGGGAAACUGCCUGAUGGAGGGGGAUAACUACUGGAAACGGUGGCUAAUACCGCAUAACGUCGCAAGACCAAAGAGGGGGACCUUCGGGCCUCUUGCCAUCAGAUGUGCCCAGAUGGGAUUAGCUUGUUGGUGAGGUAACGGCUCACCAAGGCGACGAUCCCUAGCUGGUCUGAGAGGAUGACCAGCCACACUGGAACUGAGACACGGUCCAGACUCCUACGGGAGGCAGCAGUGGGGAAUAUUGCACAAUGGGCGCAAGCCUGAUGCAGCCAUGCCGCGUGUAUGAAGAAGGCCUUCGGGUUGUAAAGUACUUUCAGCGGGGAGG
rnacentral:rRNA from 2 species